AACGAACGCUGGCGGCAGGCUUAACACAUGCAAGUCGAGCGCCCCGCAAGGGGAGCGGCAGACGGGUGAGUAACGCGUGGGAACGUACCCUUUGCUACGGAAUAGCUCCGGGAAACUGGAAUCAAUACCGUAUGUGCCUUACGGGGGAAAGAUUUAUCGGCAAAGGAUCGGCCCGCGUUGGCUUAGCUAGUUGGUGGGGUAAUGGCCUACCAAGGCGACGAUCCAUAGCUGGUCUGAGAGGAUGAUCAGCCACAUUGGGACUGAGACACGGCCCAAACUCCUACGGGAGGCAGCAGUGGGGAAUAUUGGACAAUGGGCGCAAGCCUGAUCCAGCCAUGCCGCGUGAGUGAUGAAGGCCUUAGGGUUGUAAAGCUCUUUCACCGGAGAAGAUAAUGACGGUAUCCGGAGAAGAAGCCCCGGCUAACUUCGUGCCAGCCGCCGCAGUAAAAC
rnacentral:rRNA from 1 species